rnacentral:rRNA from 1 species
AUCCUGGCUCAGGAUGAACGCUAGCUACAGGCUUAACACAUGCAAGUCGAGGGGAAACGAUAGAGAAAGCUUGCUUUUUCUAGGCGUCGACCGGCGCACGGGUGAGUAACGCGUAUCCAACCUGCCCAUCACUUGGGGAUAACCUUGCGAAAGUAAGACUAAUACCCAAUGACGUCUCUAGAAGACAUCUGAAAGAGGAUUUAAAAGAUUUAUCGGUGAUGGAUGGGGAUGCGUCUGAUUAGCUUGUUGCGGGGUAACGGCCCACCAAGGCGACGAUCAGUAGGGGUUCUGAGAGGAAGGUCCCCCACAUUGGAACUGAGACACGGUCCAAACUCCUACGGGAGGCAGCAGUGAGGAAUAUUGGUCAAUGGACGAGAGUCUGAACCAGCCAAGUAGCGUGCAGGAUGACGGCCCUAUGGGUUGUAAACUGCUUUUAUAAGGGAAUAAAGUGAGUCUCGUGAGACUUUUUGCAUGUACCUUAUGAAUAAGGACCGGCUAAUUCCGUG